AGAGUUUGUAUCCUGGCUCAGGAUGAACGCCGGCGGUGUGCCUAAUACAUGCAAGUCGAGCGCACUGGCCCAACUGAUAUGACGUGCUUGCACUGAAUUGACGUUGGAUUCCCAGUGAGCGGCGGACGGGUGAGUAACACGUGGGCAACCUGCCCUGAAGCGGGGGAUAACAUCUGGAAACAGGUGCUAAUACCGCAUAACAACGAAAACCGCAUGGUUUUCGUUUCAAAGAUGGCUUCGGCUAUCACUUCAGGAUGGGCCCGCGGUGCAUUAGCUAGUUGGUAAGGUAACGGCUUACCAAGGCGAUGAUGCAUAGCCGAGUUGAGAGACUGAUCGGCCACAAUGGAACUGAGACACGGUCCAUACUCCUACGGGAGGCAACAGUAGGGAAUCUUCCACAAUGGGCGCAAGCCUGAUGGAGCAACACCGCGUGAGUGAAGAAGGGUUUCGGCUCGUAAAGCUCUGUUGUUGGAGAAGAACGUGCGUGAGAGUAACUGUUCACGCAGUGACGGUAUCCAACCAGAAAGUCACGGCUAACUACGUGCCAGCAGCCGCGGUAAUACGUAGGUGGCAAGCGUUAUCCGGAUUUAUUGGGCGUAAAGCGAGCGCAGGCGGUUGUUUAGGUCUGAUGUGAAAGCCUUCGGCUUAACCGAAGAAGUGCAUCGGAAAAAUCACU
rnacentral:rRNA from 1 species